AGGGAAAGGCAGUAUCAGUGACAUGUAUGAUUUCGCUGCAGUUAUAUCCACUGAAAUCACGCCAGUGAGGUAAUAUAUUUUGUGAGUCAUGAAUUUACUGGAAGCCUGGAACUAAGAUUUUUUAUUUUGCUUCCACUUGAAUAUGUGAUGAAAAUAUGAUUAUGAUACCCAUUCAUGUGCUUAGUGCUUAAUGUUUUGAUGUAUAAUGCUCUUAACAUGCAUUAUCUUUAUACACGCUUUGCAGACAGUUGUAGGGUGGGUCUUCUUGAGCUGCAGAAUCCAGCACACAGGAAGCAAUGGUCAUCACAUGUUGAUGCCAAGGUCUGCUACUUGAAUGUAUUAGCUGCAUUUCUUCUGCUAUAUAGCAAGAGGAUGAAAAAUAUUGGUGUCUGUUGUGAGCUGGAUCAAAGGUAACCAUAUUUACCUGCAAUAUGCAACAUCUGUUUUCUCUGCUUCAGUAUUUUUGUGUCUCUGGCGAAGUUAAUCAUCAUAUUUAUCAAUUUAUGUCAUUUAUUUAGGAGGGACCCCAAUUACUGACUGCAUCAGGCGACCAAACUGUGAGUAGAACAUGAUCCAUCAAUUCAUUAAAUUUCUCAUAACACCAACUAUCUUUAGUUUUUUUUUUUUUUUUUGUUGCAUAAUCUCACUGUAAUUGCUUGUACUGCAUCAGGUAAAGAUAUGGAGCGUGGAGAAUAAGAAAUGCCUUGGUGUGCUAUCAGGACACACUGGAAGUGUGAAGUCACUGUCAUGCCAUUCUUCAAAUCCUGGUCAGUUGUAUAUCAGCACUUGUUUAACUUAGCUUGGGACAUGUCUGCAUAAGCUCGUGAACUCGAAUUCAAGUAGGUUAUUGUUUAUGCAGAUCUUAUUGUUUCUGGUUCAAGAUACGGUUCUUUUGCACUUUGGGAUCUAAGAUGUGACCCCAAAACCCCAAAUGGUCAUGGUGAAGCAUGCCUCAUGUAUGUUAUCUAAUGGUUACUGCAAUCUAAAUGCUCCUUUUAAUCGCAAUCAUCAAAUAUCCGUAGCAAUAUAGCAUCUUUCACUGAAUUCAGCUGUUUUACAUGUUAGAUCUUCUGCUAUUUUGAAAGAAGCGCACAGUCCCACUCGAAGGAAGGGGACAAGGUCUUGAGCAAAGGUAUUGAAUCUGCCGAGAAUCCUUUUGCUGGUGACUGUACACUCCCUUGGGUUCAUUUGCUGAUAGUGGUCAUCUUUAGCGAGCUUCGACGAGCAUCAGAUCAGUUGUGUAUCUGAAAAACGAUAUCUCUGUUGCUACUUCUGGCGCUGCAGACAAGUAAGGCAUUGGCCCAUCCAAUAUAUCCUGCACUUACUACCUAAGUUCAUAUAGUUUAUAUGUCUAAUUAUGCAGCCAGUGGUGUGUUUCAAUAUGAACGUACCUCUUUUAACACAGUGCACCUCUUCUGUAGUUUGUUUUUAUUUAUAACUCUUAAAAUGUAUGCAUCUUGUACUUACAAUAAUGUCUGCCAGCGUUGUGAAAUUUUGGGAUACGAGGAACCUUAAAGUGCCUGUCUCCAACAAAACCUAUCAAUCAACAGGACAACCUUUGGUAAGCAAGCAGCUUGCAAUUGCAACAGAAUAUUCUUUUAGUUCAGUUUCACGGCUGACUGAUCCUUUCAUUCAGAAAAGGGGGUGACACAUGUGAUCUCUUGC
rnacentral:lncRNA from 1 species